UCAUCUUUGUAGCAUCAUUAUCU
rnacentral:snRNA from 1 species